GGUUCCUCCUCAGCUGGGCUCCUCCACGCUUCAUUGUACAGGCUCCGAUUAAGUAACUGUCCUGCUGCUUGCUUUACAAAUGGAUCUCACCAUCUGCGGACCAGCCCUGGAUCAUGGUUAGAGACGGGAAACCGUAGAUUCCGGCUUCAUGAAGUCUGCAGGUUGCGGAUGUGGAGGGAGAGGAUACAGAUGCCCGAAGAUCUUCUAGAAAUGCAGCCAUGGUCUUGAUUUAGGACCUUGGCUUCUAAACAAGCAGCACUACAUUUAUAUACCUGUCGAGAGAAAGAAAUAAAGGCAGAAUUGCAGUUACCUCAACGCGGGGUGGCAUCUCCUCUGUUUUGCCCGACCAGCCCCUAGCCCGUCCUCGUAAGCUUUCCCUUACCUGUGCUCGUCCCCCCUGCUGCUGACAGACGAAUCUUCUGAACAUUCAGGGUCUCCUCAGCAAGAUGAGCAAGCCCGCGUGGGGA
rnacentral:lncRNA from 1 species